rnacentral:rRNA from 1 species
GGGCUUGACAUCCCACGAACCUGCCCGAAAAGGUGGGGUGCCCGCAAGGGAGCGUGGAGACGGGUGGUGCAUGGCUGUCGUCAGCUCGUGUCGUGAGAUGUUGGGUUAAGUCCCGCAACGAGCGCAACCCUCACCCCUAGUUGCCACCGGGUUAAGCCGAGCACUCAAGGGGAACUGCCAGCGUCAAGCUGGAGGAAGGCGGGGAUGACGUCAAGUCAUCAUGCCCCUUACGCCCUGGGCUACACACGUGCUACAAUGGCCGGUACAAAGGGAUGCCACGCCGUGAGGCAGAGCCAAACCCAAAAAACCGGUCUAAGUUCAGAUUGGAGUCUGCAACUCGACUCCAUGAAGGAGGAAUCGCUAGUAAUCGCGUAUCAGCACGACGCGGUGAAUACGUUCCCGGGCCUUGUACACACCGCCCGUCACACCACGAAAGCCAGCUGUACUCGAAGUCGCUGAG